UUCUAAGAGCUUCAUGAGGAAGAUCUCAAUGCAUUACUUCUCUGUAGAGAAGGCUGAAAUUUGGUAGGUAGGAGGCAAGGCCACACAGAUUCCAGAACUACACAAACUCCCAUCAGUAUUUUAUUUACAGACUCUGAAAACAGGUUCCUACACUGGGAACUCAAAGGAUUCCAGUACCACAAACAAAUAAAGAUCUGCAGGUUUCUCUAGUGGUUGUCAAAGUCAGCUGCAAAGUUUGGGCAAAGCUAAUUUAUACUAAUCUGGCAUCAAAGAGAUAAAUAGACGGACACUCCUAAAAAUGAAAAACAGGAAGUUCUUUUCAAUAUCUCUAAUAUACAUACUGUUCUAUUAAAGUCUGUUUAUCUAAUUUCAUUUAAGUUUUCUGCCUCACUGAUAGUCUGAGGAUUCUUAUGCCAAGCUUCGUAAUAAGUUAAUAAAUGAAUUGAAUGCUU